rnacentral:rRNA from 1 species
CGGUUGAUCCUGCCGGAGGCUAUUGCUAUCAGGGUUUGACUAAGCCAUGCGAGUCGAGAGGUGAAAGACCUCGGCAUACUGCUCAGUAACACGUGGAUAAUCUGCCCUCAGGUGAGGAAUAAUCCCGGGAAACUGGGGCUAAUGCCUCAUAGGAGACGGGUGCUGGAAUGCUCUGUCUCUGAAAGGUCCGCCGCCUGAGGAUGAGUCUGCGUCCGAUUAGGUUGUUGUUGGGGUAACGGCCCACCAAGCCAUUGAUCGGUACGGGUUGUGAGAGCAAGAGCCCGGAGAUGGAUUCUGAGACAUGAAUCCAGGCCCUACGGGGCGCAGCAGGCGCGAAAACUUUACAAUGCGAGCAAUCGUGAUAAGGAAACCCUGGGUGCCUGUCAAUGCAGGCUGUUCUGGUGUUUAGUCAGCACCAGGAGAAAGGGCGGGGCAAGACCGGUGCCAGCCGCCGCGGUAAUACCGGCUGCUCGAGUGAUAGCCACUUUUACUGGGCUUAAAGCGUUCGUAGCUUGGUCGUUAAGUCUCUGGGGAAAUCUUUUGGCUCAACCAAAAGACGUCUCAGAGAAACUGGCGACCUUGGGACCGGGAGAGGUAAGACGUACUUCGGGGGUAGGAGUGAAAUCUUGUAAUCCCCGAGGGACGACCGAUGGCGAAGGCAUCUUACCAGAACGGCUCCGACAGUGAGGGACGAAAGCUGGGGGAGCAAACCGGAUUAGAUACCCGGGUAGUCCCAGCCGUAAACGAUGUGCGUUAGGUGUGUCAGUGACCACGAGUCACUGAGGUGCCGAAGGGAAACCGUGAAACGCACCGCCUGGGAAGUACGGUCGCAAGGCUGAAACUUAAAGGAAUUGGCGGGGGAGCAC